rnacentral:lncRNA from 1 species
GAUUAGAACACCAAUACAUGUGCGGUAGCGUGUGAACUUACAGGUGCUUGACGAAAUCCCAUACUCUUGAUGCAGGUCCUACUCGAUGCAGCACACGGGAAUAGUUGGCGAAGCGGAACAACACCGAGUGAAUAGCCCAUGGCCAAAAGUGUGAACAUGGCCAGCAGUAGGUAGAAGACAUCCAGAAGGCUACUGGCACUAAAGAUGACCGACAUCAACCAGCGGCUGGUCGGUGUAGAGCAGCAGGAAGCCACCGGCACAUCCUUGCGGUGGCCGGCUGUGGUGAUGGCCUUCUGAUCCCUUUUUGCACCCUUUUAGGAUCGGUAGUUAGGAGUUUGUUGGGGGGUUAACCCAUGUAUGCGUGUGUCAUUGCCCAAGGGGCACCACCUCCUCCUUUUAUACUUGGUGCUAAGGGACAGGGACAAAAACCAAAAGUUGUCUUUCUGUGUGCCUCCGAUCAUAGCACAAAACGUGGUGAAGAGCUCCCCCUUUUCUCUUGGUCUGUUAUGACCUGAGAUCAAAUUCCAAGAUUCUCCCCCUUGAUCAUAAGGUCAAAAAACAUCAUAAGCUCAUUCUCAAUAGAAAUAAUAUACCAAGGCAAAGUGUUACAAUGACCAAUGAGAUGCCAUUGAACCUCAUUACCCAUAGUACAUAAUUCUAUCUCGAAAUGAAAAAAAUAAUACUUUAUGGGAGAUGGUUUACAAGAUGGUCCUAAUUUCCAGGAUCAAAAGGCUUUCCUAACCCAUGCCGGCAACAUAAUCAUAAAUACGGCUGGUGAGCCUUUGGUAAACGGAUCCAUAAUACAUACAAAUCAUUUUUAUAUGCUUAUCAUUAGCUUGAUUCUGGAUUCUAUCUUUCACAACAUGAAACAUAUUGUCAAUGGUUUUGGCAACACCAUUUGACUUGUUGUUACUCGCAUAGAAAACUACAUGUUCAUAAUGCAGUAGGUGGUUUUUAUAAAUGUUGUGUACCACCUUAAUUUCGGGAAUAUAACUUCUUCGACAUACAACCUUCCCAAUAGCCUCUUAACAUGCCACAUCAUAAAUUGCAUUAUUUCUAAUGCCAUCCAUGUCAUUAUGGAGCUUUUCCACGACAUAGCUCCAUAUGCGAGAGUGACGAUGUAACAUAACAUGGAGACUUUAAUAUCCACACACCUCGCGGAAAUAAUGUCUGAAUAACCAAGGAUAUCGAGGUUAUCAGACUUCUUAUUAGUGAGCAUAUAAACUUUUAUUGCCUUGCAUAUCUACAAGACUUUUCGCGGCUUCUCUGGUGGUCCAUUUCUGGACUUCUAUAUUUGCCAAUUAUCCCGAUCAUAAAUAGGGCAAGUUCAUAUUUAAAUACUUACAUUGCUUCUGACAGCUGAAGCAUAAGGAACUAACAUUACCUGAUCAGUUCAUAAUGGUUCCUUGGACACUAAAUUGUCCACCUUUACUGCCCUUGACUUUAGUAGCAGGUGCGAUAGAGUACUACCACGUAAUAUUUUCUUCCGUACUCUAUCAACGUAUGUCAUCAUAAUAAAACUUAUACUCCUUUUGGACCUAUAUCUUGGCGAAACUCAAUACAAGCAAAGUAUGAGGCAUCACCAAGAUCCUUCAUGUUAUAAACAUAAAGAUAGAAAUUACUUGGCUCGCCAAAAUAUUCUAUCUCCACAAGGUAGUGAUCUUACUCCCCCCGUCUUAUAGUAUGAGUGUCCUAACACUUGUAUUAUCUCAUAAUUGUAUUUCUUUAGAUAACAUGCCUUAUGUCAAUUUCACCCAUGACAAAACCGUACAAUUGAGCCAUACGUACAUUAUCAACUAAGUCAACAAAAGUGCAUGUCAUAGUAAUAACACAAACGUCACAACAACUCACUAAGGAAAUUCUAUGGAGUUUCAUACAUCAUUAGAGCUCAGAAUCUUCAUCCUAUAUGGCAACAAGCCACUAAGAUGAUCAUUCACACACAUUAUUGGUCAUAGGGAAAUUGUUGAAUCUCAACAAUAAGUGUUGCAUUAGAGAAAAAUAAAUUACCUUCAAUUUACCUGAUGCAUAUGAACAAAGAUCUAAUGGAAUUAUCCUUAAGAUUAAUGUUCAUAUGCUCCAGGUUCCCUGAUGAUCACUUUAUUUAAAACAUGGAAAAUAUAUCCAAAAAUCUUUGUAACAAUCAUCUCAGCUCUAAACCACAACACCCUUGGGCUAAAGAUGGAAAAGAACUUAAUGAACUAUGACAAAUGAUUAUAAACGACGUUAGUCAGAAAUAUAACCACAAGCCACAUGAUACCAACAAACUUGCCACUUGAGUGAAGUGUCACAUAUGAUUAUAAACGAUGUUGGUCAUAUAUAAUCAACAUGUUACAUCUUGAUGGUCAUUGGACUAGCAAGCUUGCCACUUUAGCAUUCAUGUGUGCUUCGUAAUGCUCAUAAGGGACUAAGUACACACUAAUAUGAUAAAGGAGUCAUUUUUCAUUCAUUCUUCUAAAUAAGACUUGUUGCAUCUUAAUUAGAGAACCAACAUUAGAAUGUGCUUUUCAUACAUUCUCCAACCAAGACUUCUCGUUGGUUCCAUCUUAAUUAGAGAGUUGAGAUACAUAGUUUGCUUAAUUGUACAUGCUAUGAUCUAAGUAUGGAGAAGUGAACGCGAUAUCUCGUAUUAAAUGAGACUUCCAUUCUCCCCCUCGAAAUGUGGUCUAAAACCACAAUUUUGAUGAGGUCUCAUUAUUCACACUUCUCUUACAUCUUCAAUGGUAACAUAGAAUUUAAUCUUUACAAAAGAUUCAUUUAGUAAAAACAUAACUGGUCUCACCAUAAGGUGGGACUAACAUUACAUAAUUUGAGUUGACUUGAUAACAUAUAAAAUCACGUCAUAUAUUCAAGAGAUGAAAUUAAGGUUGUCAAAUAACUAGGAGCGUGAACAAAACAUCAUCAAUAAGAUGAAGAAUUAAGUCAUCUCCAAAAGCUAGUGGAAUAAAUCCAAUAGUUUUGACUUUAAUCUCCUUUAAAUUGGUGAUGUGCAUGAUGGCACAUGCGUCCUCACCCAAUGUCUGCCUUAUCAUCAUGAUUAACAUCCUUUAACCUUAGUGCAGAAAAACGUUGGGAGAUUCCUUACAUGAGACAAUGAUCUCCACUCUCCAUGUGGGAAAGUUAUUUACAUAAGGUUCUUCUAUGCCAAACAAAAGUUUGACAACAUUAUUAUUGCUGGAAAAGAGGAGACAAUUUUAUGAUCAUCAUAACAGAAAAUAAAGCAUGAACUAACCAUGCAAUGCCAUGAACAAAACAUGCUUAAUGUUUAUUCUAAUCUGUAUCACCGUUGGGCAGAUAACAAAAAAGAACCUUACUCAUUCGUAAAUGACACAUGAAAAACAUAAUCAAUGUUGGUCUGAUUAUCAUCAUAUGCCAUUAGAACAUUUGCUAAUUAAACCUCUAAUCAAAACUCUCGAUGGUUCCAUUUUGACCAGAGAGAUGUAAAAUCUCGUAAUGACCAGCAAUAACUACACUGAAUUAAUUGCCAUCAUUAACAUAAAGCAACAUCACAAUAUAAUCAUGUGCGCCAUGAGGCACAGUGAUGCAUUUUGACACUAAAUCUCACAACGAUAAAUAAGAAUAUUGAACUUAAGCGUCAAAAUUAUCAUUAGAAUUCUCAAUGACAUACAUGAAAUGAUAUUGGAAUUAACAUAUAAAUAUAAAUGUCACUCCCACCGAGUAAUCAUUAAAGAGGGCAUUCAGAGUGAAAAUGCCAUAAAUAUAAAUCAUCAUAAGAAUUUCCAAAAUUAUAAAAUUUGGAUAUCAAAAUUAUCAAGAUUCUCCAAAUAAUAAUAUUGGGCAAAUUAAUAAUUGUCAAAUAAAUGACCAUGUGAAAAAAAACGUAAACAAAAUUUCUUCAUUAAGAGAAUUGAUCAUAAUCCAUUAACAUCAUUUUUGGACCGUUAUGAAUAUUUGACAGGUGCACACUAUAAUAAAAAUGGCAUAAAAUGCCCCAACCAACAACUUUAGUUUUGCCCAAUAGGCAUAUUGCCCCAACAUUAUUAUGACACAUAGUGUGGUGCAGAAAACCGAACCACGCGUCCAUCAUUAUUUUCCUUGAGGUGGCGUGAGCCCAUUAGAAAUGACCACAUCUUUAAGAAAUGUCAUAAGUAUGGCAUCAACAUUAAAUUCACACUCAUUCAAAUUUAAAAAAUAUAUAUAUUUAGAAAAUUCAAUGAGGAUUCAUAAUUGUGCAUUUGUGCUCAAUAUAAAAAUAUCCUUUUAUAACAUUAAUUUCACCAUUGAAAAGAUACUAGAAAUGCUAUCAUCAUUAAAAGGUACCAUUACAAAAAAACUUCGACAUUAAUGUCACAUUAAAUCUUCCAAAUAAAAUUUCCCGUUGGUUCUAUUUUAUUCAGAAAAUUUAAAACAUAAUUUCAACAUAAUUAUAGGUAAUUCCAAAACUUUUUUUAGUGCAUACACAUUAUUAGGAACUUAACAUAUGCACUGAAACUGCAUAAUAUGGCUAAAAAUAUAAUUCGACCCAUAACAACCCACGGCUUUCUAUUAAUAAAAUUUCAUCAUCAUUAAAAGAUUUCCAUAGAAGGGACAUAAACAUUAUUUACACAAAUAAACACUAAUUACAUAGAAUGACUUAGGCAUAAUUUACAACAUAAUUUUCUGGCUAUUGUUAAUUUACAACAGUGCAAAACAUUUUGAAAACAACCAUAAUAUCAGGAAAAACACUGAAUAGACUAAAAAUGCCUAUAACAUAAUUUUGUCCAAUAUAACCCAUGACAGCCCAUUAGAAAACUUAAUGACCAUUUUAAUUUUCACAUAUAAUUUGGGGAUCUAUUUCUAAUAUGAACAGUGCAUAAAAGAUACACAUUUUCAUAAUAUAGCAGAAAAUACAAUGAUUUUUUAUAAAGCGUAGCAGCGGCCUGUUGACUUUCUAGCCCAGCAGAUGAAAACUUCAAUAUGGAACAUUGUUUUCUGUAGGCUAACUUAACCUGGGCAAUAGCCCACUGCCAGAUUUGGCUCAUUUAUGCAACCCAGGCCCGUUUAUGCUCCGCGUUGUUCUCAGUCGUCCGAUUGGAUCGACAGACCAGAUCGAGCCUCGGCGGAACAAAACUGCGGCCCGGUGCGAACCCUAGGCUCAUUUCUCCCCAUCUCCCCGAUUUCUACGCUCAUGCAGAGAGGGAGGCUACUUUGGCGGCGCUAGAUGCUCGCCGGCCAUGGCGGCGCGGUGGCAGCCCUCGCCGGAAGAGCGUGCAGUGGACCAAGUCCGGCGCGCUCCUCCGUCGAAAGUUGCUGCCGGUGACGCGCAUGAGGCGGUGGCGUAUUCGGGGCAGUAUCUUGCCGGCGGCUACCGAUGCAGGCUUUUGCGGUGACAUCGACGUGCUAGGCACGGAGGCCAAGUGACGCGCACGUCCUUGAGCACGUCAGGAUCACCGCACGACGUCAUUAGGUGAGCCCAAAUGCUCUCUGUUCUUUCAAUUUCGUCAUUUUGGGCUCCGAUUUGGGGAAAUUUCGGGUUCCAGGGAAUGAAUUUGUUUUUUUUCAAACAUUUAAUUCCCCUCCUUCUAAUUGCUUUACCAGGGCUAAGAGUACUAAUUAAAACACUAACAUAAUGCGGAAGCAUGGCUCAAUUAGUUUAAUCUGGAUAGGUUAAACAUCAUCAUUGUAGAAUUAGCACUAGCCCAUAGCAAUUAGUAUCUGAACCGAAACAAUUAACCUUAAACGUAGAUUAUCAACUUGUACUUUAAGCAUCAACCAUUAAUCUUAAACAUGCAUAAUUUGAUCUUAACAGAGGGUUCUAAACAGAGAUCAUUCGUGCUCAUGAUACCAAUGUUAUAUAUAAAUCUUUAGGUUAACAUAAAUUGGAUCUGGAUCUCUUGAUUAGAACACCAAUACAUGUGCGGUAGCGUGUGAACUUACAGGUGCUUGAUGAAAUCCCAUACUCUUGAUGCAGGUCCUACUCGAUGCAGCACACGGGAAUAGUUGGCGAAGCGGAACAGCACCGAGUGAAUAACCCAUGGCCGAAAGUGUGAGCGUAGCCAACAGUAGGUAGAAGACGUCCAGAAGGCUACCGGCACUAGAGAUGACCGGCAUCAACCAGCGGCUGGUCGGUGUAGAGCAGCAGGAAGCCGCCGGCACAUCCUUGCGGUGGCCGGCUAUGGUGAUGGCCUUUUGAUCCCUUUUUGCACCCUUUUAG